GGAUUAGAUACCCUGGUAGUCCACGCCCUAAACGAUGUACACUAGUUGUUGUGAGGCUAGACCUUGCAGUAAUGCAGUUAACACAUUAAGUGUACCGCCUGGGGAGUACGGUCGCAAGAUUAAAACUCAAAGGAAUAGACGGGGACCCGCACAAGCGGUGGAGCAUGUGGUUUAAUUCGACGAUACGCGAAGAACCUUACCUGGACUUGACAUAGUAAGAAUGUUUUAGAGAUAGAACAGUGUCUGCUUGCAGAAACUUGCAUACAGGUGCUGCACGGCUGUCGUCAGCUCGUGCCG
rnacentral:rRNA from 1 species